rnacentral:rRNA from 1 species
CCUACGGGAGGCAGCAGUGGGGAAUAUUGCACAAUGGGGGAAACCCUGAUGCAGCGACGCCGCGUGAGUGAAGAAGUAAUUCGUUACGUAAAGCUCUAUCAGCAGGGAAGAAAUACUGACCUUACGGUCAGCAGACGGUACCUGAGUAAGAAGCCCCGGCUAACUACGUGCCAGCAGCCGCGGUAAUACGUAGGGGGCAAGCGUUAUCCGGAUUUACUGGGUGUAAAGGGAGCGUAGACGGUGCGCCAAGUUUGGAGUGAAAUGCCGCAGCUUAACUGCGGAACUGCUUUGGAAACUGGCGAACUAGAGUGCGGGAGGGGGAAGCGGAAUGCCUAGUGUAGCGGUGAAAUGCGUAGAUAUUAGGAAGAACACCAGUGGCGAAGGCGGCUUACUGGACCGUAACUGACGUUGAGGCUCGAAAGCGUGGGGAGCAAACAGGAUUAGAUACCCGUGUAGUC